CUUUUGUGUUAGUGUCCGAUUCUGAUUAUACCAUUUCGCUGAUGGAUUUGAUGGCUGCUUAAAUGGAAUAUUCCAGUGUUUAAAGAGUUCUUUAUGUACUUUUCCAGGUGGCAUAAAAUGACACUCCAAGAGUCUUUCACCAAACAGGUAGUUGUUCAUUGUUUCAGCAACUAUCUUGGCAACAUCCUCAGACUCAAACUCCACAAAUGCAUAGCCUUUGCCAUUUCCAGUCAUUUUACUUCUGGACAGUCUGAACUGUGUCACAGUGCCAAACUGGGAGAAAUAUGAAAAGAUCUGGGUUUCGUUAAGUAGGGUUGUUCUUGUUUUUUUUGCUGGGUUAUGUGCUUGCAAACCUGCGCCACCUCCUUUUGAAACUGGACAUCUUCCUGCGGGUUAAGCAGUGAGAUCUCAGCCAGGCCAGAAAAAGCUGCCAUGCCAAAAGCGGCCGACACUAACUCCACGCGGUGCUCCUGGAAACGUCGGGCUCCCAGCUCCCAUGAGGCAGAAAACGGGCAUCUAUUCUUUUAACAUACCAAAUAUUUGAGCACUUACCACGCGUCGGGCACUGAUUUACAGCACAGAGUGAAACUAAGUCCCUGCCCUUGCCUUGCUGAGCUUGCAUUCCAUCUUGGAAGGAGGAACAGACAAUAAUUAGCAAAAGUACAAUGACUGAUGAAGUUUCGCUCUUGUUGCCCAGGCUGGAGUGCAGUGGCAUGA
rnacentral:lncRNA from 1 species